AACGAACGCUGGCGGCAUGCCUAACACAUGCAAGUCGAACGAAGCCUUCGGGCUUAGUGGCGCACGGGUGCGUAACGCGUGGGAAUCUGCCCUUGGGUUCGGAAUAACAGUUAGAAAUGACUGCUAAUACCGGAUGAUGUCUUCGGACCAAAGAUUUAUCGCCCAAGGAUGAGCCCGCGUAGGAUUAGGUAGUUGGUGGGGUAAUGGCCCACCAAGCCGACGAUCCUUAGCUGGUCUGAGAGGAUGAUCAUCCACACUGGGACUGAGACACGGCCCAGACUCCUACGGGAGGUAGCAGUGGGGAAUAUUGGACAAUGGGCGAAAGCCUGAUCCAGCAAUGCCGCGUGAGUGAUGAAGGCCUUAGGGUUGUAAAGCUCUUUUACCAGGGACGAUAAUGACAGUACCUGGAGAAUAAGCUCCGGCUAACUCCGUGCCAGCCGCCGCCGUAA
rnacentral:rRNA from 1 species